rnacentral:rRNA from 1 species
GUCUAUGGCCAUACCAUCCUGAACUCGCCUAAUCUCGUCUGAUCUCGGAAGCUAAGCAGGGUCAGGCCUGGUUAGUACUUGGAUGGCAGAAGAGUAUGUUCAGUGGUCA